ACGGGUGAGUAUCGCGUAUGCAACCUACCUACCACAGGGGGAUAGCCUUCCGAAAGGGAGAUUAAUACCGCAUGAAACAGGGGUCCCGCAUGGGGAUAUUUGUUAAAGAUUUAUCGGUGGUAGAUGGGCAUGCGUUCCAUUAGCUUGUUGGCGGGGUAACGGCCCACCAAGGCAACGAUGGAUAGGGGAACUGAGAGGUUUAUCCCCCACACUGGGACUGAGACACGGCCCAGACUCCUACGGGAGGCAGCAGUGAGGAAUAUUGGUCAAUGGGCGAGAGCCUGAACCAGCCAAGUCGCGUGGAGGACGACGGUUCUAUGGAUUGUAAACUCCUUUUGCACUGGGGUAAAACGGGGGACGUGUCCCCCCUUGCAAGUACAGUGCGAAUAAGCAUCGGCUAACUCCGUGCCAGCAGCCGCGGUAAUACGGAGGAUGCGAGCGUUAUCCGGAUUUAUUGGGUUUAAAGGGUGCGUAGGCGGCCCCUUAAGUCAGCGGUAAAAUUUCUGCGCUCAACGCAGUCUGGCCGUUGAAACUGGGGGGCUUGAGUCUGGAUGAAGUGGGCGGAAUUUGUAGUGUAGCGG
rnacentral:rRNA from 1 species